rnacentral:lncRNA from 1 species
AGAGCUUGCUCCGUGAGGAAAGUUCCAACUAGUCCAACAUGUUGUCGUAAUACGUGAAGUUUUGCUUGAGAAUGCUCCGAGCACCUGGCUGUGGAAGAAAGAAUGAAAUUUGUAACAACAAAAUCCUAAUUCUAAUAGAAUACUAACAAUGCUCUAAUUAGACCAUAAUAAUACUAAGCAAGUUUUAAUCAAAUUCAAAAAAACCUCAAAGAAAUUUCAAACAAACAAUAAGAAAUCUUAAAGAAAUAUUAGAAUAAUCACAAAUAUCACUCAAAUACAUCUCAAUUCAAUCUUAAUUUAAUUCUAGUUAAAAUCCAAUUGGACUUCAUUCAAACUUUAGGCCAAAACUAAUUAAAUCUUAAAUCCUACUAAAAUCCUAAAUCCUAAAUCAAAUCCUAAAUCCUAAACCAAAUCCUAAAUCAAACCCUAACCAAACCCUAAACCAAAUCCUAAAUAAAAUCCUAAAUCCUAAAUCAAACCCUAACCAAAUCCUAACUAAAUCCUAAACCCUAAACCAAAUCCUAAAUCAAAUCGUAACCAAAUCCUAAAUCCUAACCAAACCCUAAAUCUUAAACCAAAUCCCAAAUCCUAAAUAAAACCCUAAUCAAAUCCUAAACCCUAAACCAAUCCCUAAUCAAAUCCUAGUAAUUCCUAUAACAGAUUUAAACCUCAAUAACUAAUGAAUAAACCGUCGAUCUUAACUCAAAUUUUGCACACUUCUUAAAAACUAAGUUAAAAACA